rnacentral:tRNA from 1 species
GCUGGUGUAGCUCAGCAGGCAGAGCAGCUGAUUUGUAAUCAGCAGGUCGUCGGUUCGAAUCCGACCGUCAGCUUCA